AUCUUAUCCGCGAGGGCAUUCUCCUCAUCCAUUCUACUUUCUACCUCAGAUAGAGAAAUGGACGAUUCGGUCUCUGAGGGAGGAUCCCGUGAGGACAUGUCGCUCUCCGAAAAGUCAUCGUCACUCCUUACCAGACCAUUGACAAGCAAGAGACGGAAAAGAGAAAAGGCCUGAAGAGUCGGCUCCCUAUCCGCAAUCGGGCGACUUUCCUUCCACGGCCCAUCCUGCAAGACUCGCAAAC
rnacentral:lncRNA from 1 species